rnacentral:tRNA from 1 species
GCGGCGGUGGUGGAACUGGUAGACACGCUAGCUUGAGGUGCUAGUACCGAGAGGUAUGGAAGUUCAAGUCUUCUUCGCCGCA